AGUGGCUAAACAAAUCAUUUGCGUCUAAGCCACUUCCUAUAAAACAGUCUGCACUGUUGUGCUUAGGAAUUCGCUGGUGUUUGGAUACAUUUUUCUGUCUGUUACUUUGGUAUGUGGUUCUCCUGUGCAACGAAGGUGUUUUACUGAUUGCCAGACGCUUCCGGGUAAUCGUGCUGUGUAUUACGGAAGGUCUUGGGCAAAGCACCUGCUGGGUAGCUGUACCGCAUUUAAGCACAACAUCAAGAAGGAUUGUGAAGAUUGGCGCAAAGGGCUGUUUUCCCACUGUGUCAAUUAAUUUGUCAACGUUGAGGUAAAAGAAAAUUAUAUUGUUUGCAAUGUUACAUGACUAUUUGUGCAUGUGUGAAUUGAGCAUUAAUUUUAAUGAUUUUGUGUCUGCAGGCAGAUUGCUCCUGCUGCUUUGCCUUGCCUAAAUUACGUUAGAUCUUUUUUUUUUUUUUUUUUUGUGUUUCUUUCGUAGCCUCCGUCUAACGAACUGUCCGACUGAUGUGGUAUUGGCUGUUUUGAUAGUGAUAGUUUUACAUUCUCUAUGUACUCUGCUAGUGAUAACUUAUUCAUUCUUUUAUUUCUUCUUUUCCAGAGUUUUAGAAUAACUGCUCACGAGAGAGGUUCCUGGUUCCGUCCUCACGUAUUGUAGUGGUAAAUUGCACUUCACAAUAUUGAUUUGAUCAUUGGCUUGUAGUGGUUGUGCCUGUGUGUGUGUGUGUGUGUGUGUGUGUGUGUGUGUGUGUGUGUGUGUGUGUGUGUGUGUGUGUGUGUGUGUGUGUGUGUGUGUGUGUGUGUGUGUGUGAAUGCAUGUGAUCGUGGGCACCAGAUUCCAGAGCACGGGCGGUGAGCAUCACGCGUGUCCCGGACAGGUAAUC